AUGGGGGAUUGGCUCGGCUCAGCUGCACUGACAAAGGCUGAAUACAGCAUGCAGCAGUGCGGGCGGCUCCCUGUAGUUCCAUGUGAACAUGACUCACAGCGGUUAUGAAUAUCAAACCUCCUUUGAUGUGUUCCCGGACAUGAGGAGCAGCCACAGGGGGGGAGGAGGUGGACCCUGGAUGCCGGCUCUGCGGGGCAGUAUGCGGAGGGCCUGGACACAUCCGGCAGCAUCCUGAAGCUCCAGGAGAACUUGGAGCGGCUCCUGAGACUGGGUCAGUUAUGACCAUCCACAGCAGGAGACCGAGCCCUGCCAACCACAAGGGGAGUAGGGGAAGACAGCAACAAGGGCAGGGGCAGGGAAGAUUUCAGGCUUGAAGAUUCAGAAAGCCAAGUCAUAGAUCAACUAGAAGAAAUGAAGCAGGGGGAGAUUCAGGGUACAGUGAAAUUCCAUUGCUUUCAUGACCUUGAAAGGAGAUUUGUGCUUGUUCCUGACUGCCCAUCAACCUGAAAAAUAACAAUUCUUGAUCAAAGCCUUCUGAGAACCUACACCAAAGAGGAUUGAGAGGACUGGGGUUGCAUCUCUGGGCAAUCACUGCCCCUCCAGUAUCACUGCACUUUCUACACACCAAGGCAGCCUGGUCAUCGUGUCCCCCAAAAUUCAAAUCAGAAGACUGACAUGGUUUUGAUUCUAGUUCUCUCUACAAAUACAACUCCAGGUGCCUGGUCAUUAAUCAAUCUUAAUUCUCGCUUUAAUUUCUCAACUGUGGCUUCCAAUUCCUGCUUUCCCAACCUCAUCCAAAGGAGUCAUUCCUCGUCCCCUGAUGAAUGGGCAGGCACCUCAGAAACUCGCUCUAGGAAUCCGUGGUUCCCACAUGCCUACAUUUGACCACUGGAGGGCAGUGCUGGACCAGCCAAAUCUCUAGGUGCGCUGCUCCAUCUUCGUCCCCACCUGGGCCGUCAUUGUAGGAUAUAGCCUCUGGUUGGAAGCCAAAAACCAAGGACCACUGGAGCACCCUGAGAGCACAGC